GACGAACGCUGGCGGCGUGCUUAACACAUGCAAGUCGAACGGUAAGGCCCUUCGGGGUACACGAGUGGCGAACGGGUGAGUAACACGUGGGUGAUCUGCCCUGCACUUCGGGAUAAGCCUGGGAAACUGGGUCUAAUACCGGAUAGGACUCCGGACUGCAUGGUCUGGGGUGGAAAGCUUUUGCGGUGUGGGAUGGGCCCGCGGCCUAUCAGCUUGUUGGUGGGGUGAUGGCCUACCAAGGCGACGACGGGUAGCCGGCCUGAGAGGGUGACCGGCCACGCUGGGACUGGGAUACGGCCCAGACUCCUACGGGAGGCAGCAGUGGGGAAUAUUGCACAAUGGGCGCAAGCCUGAUGCAGCGACGCCGCGUGAGGGAUGACGGCCUUCGGGUUGUAAACCUCUUUCAGCAUCGACGAAGCGAAAGUGACGGUAGGUGCAGAAGAAGGACCGGCCAACUACGUGCCAGCCGCCGCAGUAA
rnacentral:rRNA from 1 species